rfam:Agrilus planipennis Contig17665, whole genome shotgun sequence.
AGAUAGUCACACCGAAUUUAUUACAAACUUAUCUAUGCUAGAAACUUAGAUAUUUAGAACGGCCUGAGGUAGAGGGGUUUUAGUUUGUAGGUCCGAGGACUUCUUCCUCGGGAAUCCAACACUACCCAGUCGUACGGACGGCUGGGUGUCUUUUGAAGAUUUCCCCUCUUCC